rnacentral:lncRNA from 1 species
CUAGCCUUCCCCCAAUUGCUGCCACUUCCACACACCUUUUUUAUGUCUUAAAAUCCUAUUUUGUUAUAUCUCUAACUGUACAACUUCUAAAACAAGUAGUUGAAGUUAUUUUAGAAGUAAUUUUAUUCUCAUGUAGCCUACACAAAGGGAAAUAGGAAAGGAGAGGCUAAUGAAAAAUGGUGUGUAAAUUUCUGAUAAUGUUCAGACGCGUUAAAUAUUCACUUAAGCAUAACCUUUCUGUUUACACUCAUGGAUUCUGUAGUUAAAAAAAAAAAAAAAGCACAUACUGUUGUAUGCAUCCAUUGUUGCUGACUGUCUACCUGAAAGUGCAUCAAAUGCCUCGUCCCAGGAGGCUGUUCUGAAUAGAGUAGAGAGGGAGGGAGGGGCAUGUCAUCAUAGGCAGUUCAGAGCUCUGGAAUGACACCAUGGUCCCUUGAGACUAGAGUACUGACAUCCAACACAAGUCCUUGUUUUUCUGCAAGACGUGGAUUAAGGGAUGUGGAAGAGCAGAGGAGAAAUAUGGCUUUUUGUUAGACAACAGGCAGCACUCUAUGAAGAUUGAUACAGAAGUGUUGGGCUUCGUUUGCUGGAUCAUCAAACGGAUUGAUAUUAUACUCCAGCAGUGGAUGAAGACAAAUGCCAGAUGCAUGCGAUGUGAAUUCUGUAUGCCUGUAGCAAAGAGCAGAGGUGCCCUGCACUCUUUUCUUCUAGAUGGCACUCAGAUCCAGAGUGGUUACAGAGCAGUCAGAGCCAAAGCAGCAGAAAGAUCAUUAGAGAGGAUGGAGCUGGAAUGGCAGAGAGAAGAAAAUGAGGACAAAAUACUUCUGCAGCUUGCCAGGAGAACUGACAGAGUAUACACAACAUAAGAAAUCAGGAAUGUACAUUUCAAGAAGAUCCCAUACCACUGUGGAGAGGAAGGCUACUAUGGAGAGGAAACUUCCUGGCCGCCAUGCAGUGUUAGAAGACUUGCCAGAAUUUCUCUUUGAAGAAGCUUCUAUGGAAUGAUAUCUUCAGAUAGUAUUAUCUUCAAAAUAUCCAAAAUUAUUUGUUCUGAGCAUUUUGAUUAGUUUGUAUAAAAUUGAUUUUGCUACAAAAAUUAAAAAAAAAAAACAAAUCAGCACAAAAGAUAAAUAAGCUGAAAUUAAAACCUGUU